rnacentral:rRNA from 1 species
UACAGAGGUCCCAAGCGUUGUUCGGAUUCACUGGGCGUAAAGGGUGCGUAGGCGGUCGGGUAAGUCUGAUGUGAAAUCUCGGAGCUCAACUCCGAAACUGCAUUGGAUACUAUCUGGCUGGAGGGUCGGAGGGGGGACUGGAAUUCUCGGUGUAGCAGUGAAAUGCGUAGAUAUCGAGAGGAACACCAGUGGCGAAGGCGAGUCCCUGGACGACUCCUGACACUGAGGCACGAAAGCUAGGGGAGCAAACAGG